rnacentral:tRNA from 6 species
GAGUCAGUAGCUCAGCUGGAUAGAGCAACGGCCUUCUAAGCCGUGGGUCGGGGGUUCGAAUCCCUUCUGGCUCA